CACUGGGCUCCCUAGGGCUGCGCAGAGCUGCGCGAAGCCCGGGGCUGCCGGCAGCUCUGCGCAGCCCUCGGGAGAUCGGCG